GCCAGUUUUGCUCAGUGGUCAGAGCAUCAGCCUGCAGGCUGAAGGGUCUUGGGUUCAAUUCCAGUCAAGGGCA
rnacentral:tRNA from 1 species